GAUGAAGAACGCAGCGAAAUGCGAUACGUAAUGUGAAUUGCAGAAUUCAGUGAAUCAUCGAAUCUUUGAACGCAUAUUGCGCUCUCUGGUAUUCCGGAGAGCAUGCUUGUUUGAGUAUCAGUAAACACCUCAACUCCCUUUUCUUUUUUGAAAUGGGAGCUGGACUUGAGUGAUCCCAACACUUUUCUCACUGGAAAGUGGCGGGUCACUUGAAAUGCAGGUGCAGCUGGACUUUUCUCUGAGCUAUAAGCAUAUCUAUUUAGUCUGCCUAAAAAACAGAUUAUUACCUUUGCUUCAGCUAACAUAAAGGAGAUGAGUUCUUGUGCUGACUGAUGCAGGAUUCACAGAGACAGCUUUGCGGCUGACUUUGUAAACUCGAUCUCAAAUCAAGUAAGACUACCCGCUGAACUUAAGCAUAUCAAUAAGCGGAGGA
rnacentral:misc_RNA from 1 species